rnacentral:rRNA from 1 species
GACGAACGCUGGCGGCGUGCUUAACACAUGCAAGUCGAACGGAAAGGCCCUGCUUUUGUGGGGUGCUCGAGUGGCGAACGGGUGAGUAACACGUGAGUAACCUGCCCUUGACUUUGGGAUAACUUCAGGAAACUGGGGCUAAUACCGGAUAGGAGCUCCUGCUGCAUGGUGGGGGUUGGAAAGUUUCGGCGGUUGGGGAUGGACUCGCGGCUUAUCAGCUUGUUGGUGGGGUAGUGGCUUACCAAGGCUUUGACGGGUAGCCGGCCUGAGAGGGGGACCGGCCACACUGGGCCUGAGAUACGGCCCAGACUCCUACGGGAGGCAGCAGUGGGGAAGAGUGCACAAUGGGCGGAAGCCUGAUGCAGCAACGCCGCGUGCGGGAUGACGGCCUUCGGGUUGUAAACCGCUGUCGCCUGUGACGAAGCGUGAGUGACGGUAAUGGGUAAAGAAGCACCGGCUAACUACGUG